rnacentral:rRNA from 1 species
UCAUGGCUCAGGAUGAACGCUAGCGGCAGGCCUAACACAUGCAAGUCGAGGGGUAACAGAGAGAGCUUGCUCUUUGCUGACGACCGGCGCACGGGUGCGUAACGCGUAUACAAUCUGCCUAUCACUGAGGGAUAGCCCGAAGAAAUUUGGAUUAAUACCUCAUAGUAUUAUAGAAUCGCAUGGUUUUAUAAUUAAAGGUUACGGUGAUAGAUGAGUAUGCGUCCUAUUAGCUAGAUGGAGAGGUAAAGGCUCCCCAUGGCUACGAUAGGUAGGGGUCCUGAGAGGGAGAUCCCCCACACUGGUACUGAGACACGGACCAGACUCCUACGGGAGGCAGCAGUGAGGAAUAUUGGACAAUGGGCGCAAGCCUGAUCCAGCCAUGCCGCGUGUAGGAAGACGGCCCUAUGGGUUGUAAACUACUUUUAUACGGGAAGAAACCUAUCCUCGUGAGGGUAGCUGACGGUACCGUAAGAAUAAGCACCGGCUAACUCCGUGCCAGCAGCCGCGGUAAUACGGAGGGUGCAAGCGUUAUCCGGAAUCAUUGGGUUUAAAGGGUCCGUAGGCGGGCUAAUAAGUCAGUGGUGAAAUGCAGGGGCUCAACUCCGGCACUGCCAUUGAUACUGUUAGUCUUGAAUUAUUGUGAAGUGGUUAGAAUAUGUAGUGUAGCGGUGAAAUGCUUAGAUAUUACAUAGAAUACCGAUUGCGAAGGCAGAUCACUAACAAUAUAUUGACGCUGAUGGACGAAAGCGUGGGUAGCGAACAGGAUUAGAUACCCUGGUAGUCCACGCCGUAAACGAUGGUUACUAGCUGUUUGGACGAAUUGACGUCUGAGUGGCCAAGCGAAAGUGAUAAGUAACCCACCU